UUUUUUUUUUUUUUUAGCACAGCAUUAGAAGCCCUGACUAUGACAAAGGCUUUCUGGGUUUAAAAAAGAAAAAGACUCAAGAAAAGGAAUGUGACAUCUUGGCUCCUGGAUGUGGCUUUGGGAGAGCACCUGCCCGCACACCCUGGGUUGUUUUAUGUUGAGAUGAUUCUGUAUUGAAAUGAGGAUAAUUUGGGCAGACUGCACUGAGUGAAGUAGUCAAUCUUUUCCUGCUUCUUUUAAAAUAGGCUGUUAGGGAGAUUUAAAAUAUGUAUGUAGCGUGUCCGUGUGGCCCAAAGCGUAUCCAUCUGGACGGGAUAGGCACUGUCUUGAUAUAGACACUGGGACAAGCUGUAAUGGAUGUGUAGUUCCUUCAGCUCAACAGUGGAUUCAGUGUCUGUGAGGUAGAGAGGGGCUGCCUGAGCCCAGCCUGGAUCCUUCCUGGUCAUCAGCAACAGGUGACAGGAUAGUGGGGACACUGUUAGCCAGAGAUGUAACUGGGAGGCACAGCUGUUACAGCUCAUGCCUUGGCCAGAAGUCCUGACUGGGGAGUACCGAGUAGUUGAAGGACAGAGAGAGAGGCACAGUAUGGUAGGUGAUCCAAUCAAGACUUUUUAAUCUGUAUUUUUUUUUCCGUUCUUUGAGACAGGGUUUCACUAUGUAGGCCCGACUGACCCGGAACUUACCGUGUAAAGCAGGUGGUGACCCUGCUUGUCUUCCAGAAUCGAGUGCCUGUGCCCUCUGCUUGCCCUGGCCAUCCAUCUGCUGGCUGCCAUGCACCCCACUCACUACCUUUGGGGCCAGUGAUGGGGACAUCAAACAAACGCCGAGGACUGAGAAGGGGUUAAGCAGGGAGACGGGUGAUCUGAGAGUCAGGAAUCAUGGAGAAAGUUAAAAAUAGGAUGAUCCAGCCCAGAGCAAGGAAGCGGGGUGAGCCUGGGCUGUUGGGGGUGACUGACGGGUUUGAGGAUGACUUGUGCUUUUCUUCUGUGCACUGAAUGGGAAGAAGUUGCCCUGGGACUCCAGAGACACAUCACUGAGAUCGUCUUUAUCCUGGGGGUUUGAGAUGGCCAGAGAGCAGAGGACGGGCAGAUCGGGAAUCUAGUUCUACCCUCCAGUCUCCUCUCAGCAGCUCGGCACCUCCCGUGACUUUCCAUGCCAACUUCCCCAAACUCCUCCGGAGUAAGAAUACAGCAGGAGGCUCCAGGUUCAUACUUGGCCUUUUAGCCAGUGAUGGCUCCAUUUCAGCCCACCGUCACCCUGCCAGGCUCAGUGGAACAAAGGUGCACUUGUCAUGUCCUCUGCAAGCAAGUUGUCACAACUCCAGAGUCUGGGCAGAGAGGAGUGACUCAGAACGAUUACUUACAGAGAAGAGAGACGUG
rnacentral:sRNA from 1 species